UACGUAGGGUGCAAGCGUUGUCCGGAAUUAUUGGGCGUAAAGAGCUCGUAGGCGGUUUGUUGCGUCGGCUGUGAAAACCUGAGGCUCAACCUCAGGCCUGCAGUCGAUACGAGCAGACUAGAGUGUUGUAGGGGAGACUGGAAUUCCUGGUGUAGCGGUGAAAUGCGCAGAUAUCAGGAGGAACACCGGUGGCGAAGGCGGGUCUCUGGGCAACAACUGACGCUGAGGAGCGAAAGCGUGGGGAGCGAACAGG
rnacentral:rRNA from 1 species